UGGCGGCAGGCCUAACACAUGCAAGUCGAACGGUAACAGGAAGAAGCUUGCUUCUUUGCUGACGAGUGGCGGACGGGUGAGUAAUGUCUGGGAAACUGCCUGAUGGAGGGGGAUAACUACUGGAAACGGUAGCUAAUACCGCAUAACGUCGCAAGACCAAAAAGGGGGACCUUCGGGCCUCUUGCCAUCGGAUGUGCCCAGAUGGGAUUAGCUAGUAGGUGGGGUAACGGCUCACCUAGGCGACGAUCCCUAGCUGGUCUGAGAGGAUGACCAGCCACACUGGAACUGAGACACGGUCCAGACUCCUACGGGAGGCAGCAGUGGGGAAUAUUGCACAAUGGGCGCAAGCCUGAUGCAGCCAUGCCGCGUGUAUGAAGAAGGCCUUCGGGUUGUAAAGUACUUUCAGCGGGGAGGAAGGGAGUAAAGUUAAUACCUUUGCUCAUUGACGUUACCCGCAGAAGAAGCACCGGCUAACUCCGUGCCAGCAGCCGCGGUAAUACGGAGGGUGCAAGCGUUAAUCGGAAUUACUGGGCGUAAAGCGCACGCAGGCGGUUUGUUAAGUCAGAUGUGAAAUCCCCGGGCUCAACCUGGGAACUGCAUCUGAUACUGGCAAGCUUGAGUCUCGUAGAGGGGGGUAGAAUUCCAGGUGUAGCGGUGAAAUGCGUAGAGAUCUGGAGGAAUACCGGUGGCGAAGGC
rnacentral:rRNA from 1 species